rnacentral:rRNA from 1 species
GGGGGCAACCCUGGCGGCGAGCGGCGAACGGGUGAGUAAUACAUCGGAACGUACCCAGGAGUGGGGGAUAACACAUCGAAAGAUGUGCUAAUACCGCAUACGCCCUGAGGGGGAAAGCGGGGGACCGCAAGGCCUCGCGCUGUUGGAGCGGCCGAUGUCGGAUUAGCUAGUUGGUGGGGUAAGGGCCUACCAAGGCGACGAUCCGUAGCUGGUCUGAGAGGAUGAUCAGCCACACUGGGACUGAGACACGGCCCAGACUCCUACGGGAGGCAGCAGUGGGGAAUUUUGGACAAUGGGGGCAACCCUGAUCCAGCCAUUCCGCGUGAGUGAAGAAGGCCUUCGGGUUGUAAAGCUCUUUCGGCAGGAACGAAACGGCGGGCUCUAACAUAGCCUGUCAAUGACGGUACCUGAAGAAGAAGCACCGGCUAACUACGUGCCAGCAGCCGCGGUAAUACGUAGGGUGCGAGCGUUAAUCGGAAUUACUGGGCGUAAAGCGUGCGCAGGCGGUUUUGUAAGACAGCUGUGAAAUCCCCGGGCUUAACCUGGGAACUGCGGUUGUGACUGCAAGACUAGAGUGCGGCAGAGGGGGGUGGAAUUCCACGUGUAGCAGUGAAAUGCGUAGAGAUGUGGAGGAACACCGAUGGCGAAGGCAGCCCCCUGGGUUGACACUGACGCUCAUGCACGAAAGCGUGGGUAGCAAACAGGAUUAGAUACCCUGGUAGUCCACGCCCUAAACGAUGCCAACUAGGUGUUGGGGGAAGGAGACUUCCUUAGUACCGUAGCUAACGCGUGAAGUUGGCCGCCUGGGGGAGUACGGUCGCAAGAUUAAAACUCAAAGGAAUUGACGGGGACCCGCACAAGCGGGGGAUGAAGGUGGAAUUAAUUCGAUGC